rnacentral:ncRNA from 2 species
GGUCAUGAGUGCCAGCACGAAGCCCCGGCUUGCUGGCCGGCAACCCUUCCGUCCGCGAUGGGGUGCCCCGGGUGAGGACCAGGCUCGCGCCGACCGGCGCGGGCAAGCGCGAGAC